rnacentral:rRNA from 1 species
UACGGGGGGGGUAAGCGUUGUUCGGAAUUACUGGGCGUAAAGGGCUCGUAGGCGGCCAACUAAGUCGGACGUGAAAUCCCUCAGCUUAACUGGGGAACUGCGUCCGAUACUGGAUGGCUUGGAUUUGGGAGAGGGAUGCGGAAUUCCAGGUGUAGCGGUGAAAUGCGUAGAUAUCUGGAGGAACACCGGUGGCGAAGGCGGCAUCCUGGACCAACAUUGACGCUGAGGAGCGAAAGCUAGGGGAGCGAACAGG